CACCUGUUUUACAAAAACAUGUCUUAUUGAUUAUAAUUUUAAGUCUAAUCUGCCCAAUGAUUUUUUUUAUUUAAUGGCUGCAGAAUUUAUAACUGUACAAAGGUAGCAUAAUAAUUAGUUUUUUAAUUGAAAACUAGAAUGAAAGAUUAAAUGAAAUAUACACUAUAUAAAUAAAAUUAAAAAUUAAAAUUAAAAUUUAAGUAAAAAUUCUUAAAUUAUUUUAAAAGACGAGAAGACCCUAUAGAAUUUUAUUUUUUAUUAUUUUAAAAUUUAUUAAUAAAUUAAAAUAAAUUAUAAAAAAUUUAAUUGGGGUAAUUUUAAAAUUAAAUUAAUUUUUAUUUAAAAAACAUAAAUUAAUGAAUUUUUAAUCUUAAAAUUUAGAUUAAAAAAAUAAAUUACCUUAGGGAUAACAGCGUAA
rnacentral:rRNA from 1 species